GACAAAUAAAACAAGAAUGAGUUUGGCUUGAUGGAACUAAAGAUAAUAGCUUCUUUAAGCAGCAACCAUGAUAGUAUUCGUAGACAAGAAAAAGAGGUGCAUUCUUUAUGACAAUCGGAGUGUGGCUCAAAUUUGGCAGAUAGAGCAGAAAGUUACAGAAUUACAUUAAUUACAUCAAAAGUUACAGAGUUACAUCAAUUGUUUAAAUCCAAUUCAUGUAUGGUCAUGCACGGAAGUCAAGCAUGGAAAUUGGAAAUAUGUCAAUUUCCUGUAGUUAUUUUUAUAAAAAUGAAUUUUGUGUAAAAAUCAUA